GACGAACGCUGGCGGCGUGCUUAACACAUGCAAGUCGAACGGAAAGGCCUGCUUUCCCUUGUUGAUUUCUUGUGCUCGAGUGGCUAACUGGUGAGUAACACGUGUAUGAUCUGCCCCCAACUUGGUUAUAAGCCUGGUAAACUGUGUCUAAUUCCCGUUUGGACUGCAUGGUUGUGCCUGUGGUGGAAAUCGUUUUUUUAGUUGUAGGGGAUGCGCUGGCGGCUUAUCAGCUUGUUGGUGGGGUAAUCGCCUACAAAGGCGGAGACCGGUAGCCGGAGUGUGAGCGUGGACGGUCACAUUGAGACUGGGAUCAGACCCCGACUGCUAGGAGAGGCAGGAGUUGGGAAUAUUAGAGCAUGAGCGGAAGGGUGAUGCAGCGACGCCGCGAGGAGGAUGACGGCAUUCGGGUUGUAAGCUACUUUCGAACGAGAGGUAGCUAACUGGUUGGGAGGGUGGUGACGGUAGUGAUAGAAGAAGCACCGGCUAACUACGUG
rnacentral:rRNA from 1 species